rnacentral:lncRNA from 1 species
AGGGAAAUGUAUAAAAUUUAUUGAUAUUUUAUUUUUAAAUAGAAAAGUUUUAAAGCAUCCAAUGCAUAAAAUUUAUGUAUUUUCUUUAAAUGUUGCAUCAGAGAGAAAAAUAAUUGUUUAUUUUUCUUCUUUAGUGGAAAGAGAACUGAUCUACAAAAUAGUGAGUACAUGACAUUUUUGGAAUAAGAUUGACAUAAUUUAUAUUACUUGAUAAUUUAUCAAGAAUCAAAGGUUGUCCUAGUGGUUGAGAGUUUGGCGAAUAAACCCGAGGUUGUGUGUUCAUAUCCUAACUAGAAAUGCUUUUUUCCGAAAUUGUCUGACCAGAUAACUCACUAGCCACUCGACGGCUUUCUGAUAAAACCAGCCAGGCCACUAGUUUCUCAGGCAGUUCAACUGCAUAUCCAGUCCUGUAUGAAAACUGGCUGGGGGCUUGGUUCACCGAUUUUUUGGUCAGAUUGGCCAAUAGUGGGAUUUCCAUAACUAUUGUUGGUGCAAAAAUCUGCUUGCGUCGGAGAAGCUGGAGUCGAGGGAGUCGCGGUCGCCGCCAGGACCUGCAAAAGAAGUCUAAACCGGAGGUGGGGUUGCUCCGGCAAGACUCUCCGACGCUCAAGUCAGUUCUCUGCCUCAACAAGAAUGGAGUGCUCGAACGAAAAUUUUAAAAGAAUUUUGAGAUAGAAAAUAAAGCUUAGAGAAUAACGUAUCUGGGGACCCCCAUUUAUAGGCAAAGGGGGACAGCAGACUGAUAGCGAUAUCUGUAACCGCCUGGCAGUGGGCUGCUCAGAGUCAGGCGGAGUUUGUUGCGAAGAGUAGUGGAGUGGGAUCGUGGCUACCGCUGAAAUGUGCCACGUGGAGUCUGUUGCGGGUAGUGGAACGGCAUCCGUUGUCGCGACUUGUCAGGGGAUGGGAGGAAUCGCGCGGUAUCCGUUGCAGGGAGUGGAGCAGAAUCGUGGUCAUUAUGGCGAUCUGCCAGGGAGUGAUGGGGCCGCGUGGAAUCCGUCGCAGGAAGUAGAGCAAAAUCGUGGUCAUUAUUGUGGCUUGCCAGGGGGUCCGGGCCUAUCGGCCGGAGUUCGGCUGGGGUGUAUGGCGGAGAGAGGUGGCUAGCCACCCGUCUGAGAGGAGCUCGAAGUCCGGCUCUCGCAGGAGGCCGGGCGGAGCCUUCCCGUAGCCGGAGUCGGAGACGAGAUCUGGCUCCCGUAGGAGUCUGGACGAAGUCUACCUGCAAUUAGAGUCGGGGGCGAAGUCCGGCUCCCGUAGGAGUCCAGAUGAAGUUUUACCAUCAGCCGAGGUCGGAGAUGAAAUCCGGCUCCCGUAGGAGUCCGGGCGGAGUCUUCCCGUAGCCAGAGUCGGAGACGAGGUCUGGCUCCCGUAGGAGUCUGGGCGAAGUCUACCUGCAAUUAAAGUCAGGGGUGAAGUCCGGCUCCCGUAGGAGUCCGGACAAAGCCUUCUUACGGUUGAAGUCGGGGGUGAAGCCCGGCUCCCGUAGGAGUCUGGAUGAAGUUUACCAUCAGUCGAGGUCGGGGAUGAAGUCCGACUCCCGUAGGAGUCUGGGCAGAGUCUUCCCGUAGCCAGAGUUGGAGAUGAGGUCUGGCUCCCGUAGGAGUCUGGGCGAAGUCUACCUGCAGUUAAAGUCAGGGGCGAAGUCUGGCUCCCGUAGGAGUCCGGAUGAAG